rnacentral:rRNA from 1 species
GACGAACGCUGGCGGCGUGCCUAAUACAUGCAAGUCGAACGCUGAAGCGAGGAGCUUGCUCUUCUUGGAUGAGUUGCGAACGGGUGAGUAACGCGUAGAUAACCUGCCUGGUAGCGGGGGAUAACUAUUGGAAACGAUAGCUAAUACCGCAUAACAACAGUUUUUGCAUGACAGCUGUUUAAAAGAUGCAAUUGCAUCACUACCAGAUGGACCUGCGGUGUAUUAGCUAGUUGGUGAGGUAACGGCUCACCAAGGCGGCGAUACAUAGCCGACCUGAGAGGGUGAGCGGCCACACUGGGACUGAGACACGGCCCAGACUCCUACGGGAGGCAGCAGUAGGGAAUCUUCGGCAAUGGGGGGAAACCUGACCGAGCAACGCCGAGGGAGUGAAGAAGGGUUUCGGAUCGGAAAGGUCUGUUGUAAGAGAAGAACGGGUGUGAGAGUGGAAAGUUCACACUGUGACGGUAUCUUACCAGAAAGGGACGGCUAACUACGUG